rnacentral:rRNA from 1 species
GAUGAACGCUGGCGGCGUGCCUAAUACAUGCAAGUCGAGCGAACGGACGAGAAGCUUGCUUCUCUGAUGUUAGCGGCGGACGGGUGAGUAACAUGUGGAUAACCUACCUAUAAGACUGGGAUAACUUCGGGAACCCGGAGCUAAUACCGGAUAAUAUUUUGAACCGCAUGGUUCAAAAGUGAAAGACGGUCUUGCUGUCACUUAUAGAUGGAUCCGCGCUGCAUUAGCUAGUUGGUAAGGUAACGGCUUACCAAGGCAACGAUGCAUAGCCGACCUGAGAGGGUGAUCGGCCACACUGGAACUGAGACACGGUCCAGACUCCUACGGGAGGCAGCAGUAGGGAAUCUUCCGCAAUGGGCGAAAGCCUGACGGAGCAACGCCGCGUGAGUGAUGAAGGUCUUCGGAUCGUAAAACUCUGUUAUUAGGGAAGAACAUAUGUGUAAGUAACUGUGCACAUCUUGACGGUACCUAAUCAGAAAGCCACGGCUAACUACGUG